CCUACGGGUGGCAGCAGUGAGGAAUAUUGGUCAAUGGACGAGAGUCUGAACCAGCCAAGUAGCGUGAGGGAAGACGGUCCUAUGGAUUGUAAACCUCUUUUGUCGGGGAGCAAAAGACGCCACGCGUGGCGUUCCGAGAGUACCCGAAGAAAAAGGAUCGGCUAACUCCGUGCCAGCAGCCGCGGUAAUACGGAGGAUGCGAGCGUUAUCCGGAUUGAUUGGGUUUAAAGGGUGCGCAGGCGGAAGAUCAAGUCAGCGGUAAAAGUGAGAGGCUCAACCUCAUCUAGCCGUUGAAACUGGUUGUCUUGAGUGAGUGAGAGGUAUGCGGAAUGCGUGGUGUAGCGGUGAAAUGCUUAGAUAUCACGCAGAACUCCGAUUGCGAAGGCAGCACACCGG
rnacentral:rRNA from 1 species